rnacentral:rRNA from 1 species
UACGUAGGGUGCGAGCGUUGUCCGGAAUUAUUGGGCGUAAAGGGCUCGUAGGCGGUUUGUCGCGUCGGGAGUGAAACUCAGGGCUUAACCCUGAGCCUGCUUCCGAUACGGGCAGACUAGAGGUAUGCAGGGGAGAACGGAAUUCCUGGUGUGGCGGUGAAAUGCGCAGAUAUCAGGAGGAACACCGGUGGCGAAGGCGGUUCUCUGGGCCUACCUGACGCUGAGGAGCGAAAGCGUGGGGAGCGAACAGG